ACGCUGGCGGCGUGCCUAAUACAUGCAAGUCGAGCGUAGUUUUUCUGGUGCUUGCACCGGAAAAACUUAGCGGCGAACGGGUGAGUAACACGUAAAGAACCUGCCUCAUAGACUGGGACAACUAUUGGAAACGAUAGCUAAUACCGGAUAACAGCAUUAACUGCAUGGUUGAUGUUUAAAAGUUGGUUUUGCUAACACUAUGAGAUGGCUUUGCGGUGCAUUAGCUAGUUGGUGGGGUAAAGGCCUACCAAGGCGACGAUGCAUAGCCGACCUGAGAGGGUGAUCGGCCACACUGGGACUGAGACACGGCCCAGACUCCUACGGGAGGCAGCAGUAGGGAAUCUUCCGCAAUGGGCGAAAGCCUGACGGAGCAACGCCGCGUGAGUGAAGAAGGAUUUCGGUUCGUAAAGCUCUGUUGUUAGGGAAGAAUGAUUGUGUAGUAACUAUACACAGUAGAGACGGUACCUAACCAGAAAGCCACGGCUAACUACGUGCCAGCAGCCGCGGUAAUACGUAGGUGGCAAGCGUUGUCCGGAAUUAUUGGGCGUAAAGCGCGCGCAGGUGGUUUAAUAAGUCUGAUGUGAAAGCCCACGGCUCAACCGUGGAGGGUCAUUGGAAACUGUUAAACUUGAGUGCAGGAGAGAAAAGUGGAAUUCCUAGUGUAGCGGUGAAAUGCGUAGAGAUUAGGAGGAACACCAGUGGCGAAGGCGGCUUUUUGGCCUGUAACUGACACUGAGGCGCGAAAGCGUGGGGAGCAAACAGGAUUAGAUACCCUGGUAGUCCACGCCGUAAACGAUGAGUGCUAAGUGUUGGUCUCAUAAGAGAUCAGUGCUGCAGCUAACGCAUUAAGCACUCCGCCUGGGGAGUACGACCGCAAGGUUGAAACUCAAAGGAAUUGACGGGGACCCG
rnacentral:rRNA from 1 species